UACAGAGGGUGCAAGCGUUAAUCGGAAUUACUGGGCGUAAAGCGUGCGUAGACGGUAGCGUAAGUCGGGUGUGAAAGCCCCGGGCUCAACCUGGGAAUUGCAUUCGAGACUGCUCUGCUAGGGUGCGGAAGAGGGAAGCGGAAUUUCCGGUGUAGCGGUGAAAUGCGUAGAUAUUAGGAGGAACACCAGUGGCGAAGGCGGCCUGCUGGGCAUUAACUGACGCUGAGGCUCGAAAGCGUGGGGAGCAAACAGG
rnacentral:rRNA from 1 species